rnacentral:rRNA from 1 species
GUCGUGCCUUCCCGGUGAGCUUGUGGGCUUAAACGGACGCGGUAAAGCGUGCUAAGGUAGCUAAAUUAUGGCCUAUUAAUUGUAGGUCCUGUGAAUGGUUUGACGAGUUUCCAACUGUCUCUAGUUUUUUUUGGUGAACUUGAAUUGGAUGUGCAAAUGCUUCCAUGGGUAAGAAAGACGAGAAGACCCCGUGAAGUUAGAAAUUUAAGUUAUUGGGAAGUUCCAAGGCUAAUUUGUGGCCGAAUCGUUGAGGAGCACUAUAAUCUAGUGUUUUAGAAGGGGUGAAUAAUAGCAGUUUUGGCUGGGGCAGCAAAGGAGCAAAGCUAGACUCCUUUAGGGUAUAAAACAGAUGUGUUACGACCCACAAACAUUAAGGUGUGAUUAUCAGAAGAAGUUACUCCGGGGAUAACAGCGUAAUCUGUCUUGAUAGUUCUUAUAGAUGGGCGGGUUUGCGACCUCGAUGUUGGCUCUGGAUAUCC